rnacentral:rRNA from 1 species
UACCAGCACCCCGAGUGGUCGGGACGUUUAUUGGGCCUAAAGCAUCCGUAGCCGGUUCUACAAGUCUUCCGUUAAAUCCAGCUGCUCAACAGAUGGGCUGCGGGGGAUACUACAGGGCUAGGAGGCGGGAGAGGCAAGCGGUACUUUAUGGGUAGGGGUAAAAUCCGUUGAUCCAUAGAAGACCACCAGUGGCGAAGGCGGCUUGCCAGAACGCGCUCGACGGUGAGGGAUGAAAGCUGGGGGAGCAAACCGG